GAUGAACGCUGGCGGCGUGCUUAACACAUGCAAGUCGAACGAUGAAGCCCAGCUUGCUGGGUGGAUUAGUGGCGAACGGGUGAGUAACACGUGAGUAACUUGCCCUUAACUCUGGGAUAAGCCUGGGAAACUGGGUCUAAUACCGGAUAGGAGCGCCUACCGCAUGGUGGGUGUUGGAAAGAUUUAUCGGUUUUGGAUGGACUCGCGGCCUAUCAGCUUGUUGGUGGGGUAAUGGCUCACCAAGGCGACGACGGGUAGCCGGCCUGAGGGGGUGACCGGCCACACUGGGACUGAGAAACGGCCCAGACUCCUACGGGAGGCAGCAGUGGGGAAUAUUGCACAAUGGGCGAAAGCCUGAUGCAGCGACGCCGCGUGAGGGAUGACGGCCUUCGGGUUGUAAACCUCUUUCAGUAGGGAAGAAGCGAAAGUGACGGUACCUGCAGAAGAAGCACCGGCUAACUACGUG
rnacentral:rRNA from 1 species